rnacentral:lncRNA from 1 species
GGUUUUAGUUUCUCAGUCUUUAGUUUUUAUGUUCUGAUCUGAUGUUUGACUUUUGACCAAUUUACGUCUGUUUCCAUAGCAGAGGAGAAUAAGUCAUUUUGUUAUUUUUAGCCUGUCUUUUACGUGCUUUAAACAUUGAUCGGUUUACACAUCUAAAAAUGUUGGAUAUCUCAGUGUACAUUUUCUUUUUUAUUUGUUUUGGGGGG